GACUUUCAAUAAACAAGACAGGAGACACCACGAUGAGUACUCAAAGCAGAGAUUGUAAUAAAGCAGCAGCUCCACAGGAGCUGAGGUAAGGAUUCAUUCAUUUUUUUUUUUAAAUCAUUUGAUGUUUCUGAUCAGAAAUGUUUAAAAGUGCUUCAUUUACCUGGUUUAGUUUCCACAGCUGAACACAGGAUAGACUGCAUGAAUUAUACUCUAUUUUGCUAUAUGAUCUUCAUAUCAUAAGCUUCUACAUUUUAAAAAAGCUCGAUAAACAUUGCUCUGAAACUAAUACUACUAAAUUUUUUUUGUGUACUGUGAAUAACCUCUCUAUGAUGUUUUUGAACAGUUUGGCUGAGAUGGAAAAAAAACUUCAGGAGGCAAAUAUGGUGGUGAACCAUCAAAAGGGGGAACUGAAUUCAGUCAAAGAAAGUUUGGCUGAGAUGGAAAAACAACUUUGUGAGGCAAAUAUGGUGAUAAAACGUCAAGAGGAGCAACUGAAAUCAGUCAAAGAGAGUUUGUGUGAGAUGGAAGCAUUUUACAACGUGAGACUCAAAGAAGCAGGUUUGGUUGAGAUGAAAGACUUUUACGAAGACAAACUCCAACAAGAAAGAUCUGCACAUAAAGAAACUGAAGAAGAGUAUAAAUCAUUCAAAGACAGAGUGGCAGGAGAGAUUGAUCUUGCACUAAAGACGGGGAAAUCUGAAAACAUGAACAACCCAGUGAAUGAAACCAGACUGAAAGAGAUGUAUGAAGAGCUGAGGAUGGACUGGGCUAAAAUCAAGCCUUAUCUGCAGGAAAAUCAGAACAACCCAGAGGAAAUCAAAGCUUUGAUUCAGCACAGAUUUCAAUGUGGAGCAGGGGAAAUAAAGCAGAAGAAGGAACAGAUACAGUCAGCAUUUACCCUAAAUGAGGACACUCAAGCGUCUCAGAAGGUUCAUGAAUACACAAAGUUAACCAUUCAGAACCUUCAGCUUGCUGUUUACUAUGGUUUCAAAGACACUGCUGGUCAGGGGUUCCACGGACAGGAAGGUCAAACUCAUGAUGAUAGCAAGAAUAAGCUCCUCAUGAAGUGCUUCUGGCUGAGCAGCUUAUUGGGGCUGAACGAUCCCCCUCUUCAGCCUGACUGGAAAAAUCAUCAUCCAGGGCAAGAUGCUUGGAACUUUUUCCCACAAGAGAUCACAGCUGAUUCUGCCAUUGUACUCUGCCAGGACAACUCUGAAAAUGUCCUUAAUGUCAUUGGACAUACCAGGACCCAGACUUGAACCAGACUGAAGAUCUCUAGAAAGUACAACAUGUCUUCUAUCACAUCUUCCUUCUCUCAUCCCAACCAGUCGCAGAUGGCCACCCCUCUCUGAGCCUGAUUCUGCCGGAGGUUUCUUCCUGUUAAAGGAGAGUUUUUUUCCCCCUUUCCACUGUCACCAAAGUCAUUACUCAUAUGGGGUCAUAUGAUUGUUGGAUUUUUCUCUGUAUGUAUUAUUGCAAGGUCUACCUUACAAUAUAAAGCACCUUUGAGCAACUGUUGUUGUGAUUUAGUGCUGUAUAAAUA
ensembl:lncRNA